rnacentral:tRNA from 1 species
GGAGAGAUGGCUCAGAGGUUAAGAGCACUGGCUGCUCUUCCAGAGGACCCAGGUUCAAUUCCCAGCUCUCACUG